GCACGGGCAUGGUGCUGACAAACCUACAAAUAUAAUAUAUGAACAUGAGCUAUGUGUGACAAGGAAAGCGACCAUGACAUGAUGCCUAUCCCUGACAUGGGAACCAAGCAUAUGCCACGCCGUUAUCUGCAGGGAGUGCAGUUUGUUAUCAACAAUACAUAUCUUGGACGCCUAAUUGUUAAGCUCAAGUCAAGUAGGGGGACGAGUCUUCUUGCAGGUUACGAAAAGGGGCGAGUGGUGACGAAUGACGUGUUGCAUUUGCUUCCAGCACAAUGAAAGUCCUCCUACUGGUCGUCCUUGUUGUUUCCCUGGCUAUAAUGGCGUCAACAGCACCUGCCAAGGAGAGAAGUCUUUUGGGCGACAUUCUUAAUAAGCUCAUACCUACCUCGGGAUGUGCAGUCCCAAUCAACUGUCUUGUGCCACCUUGUCCGUGCCUCAUAGGAUGACCUGAUUCUGUGUUGAUGCAAAGCAAAUAAAUAUCGUAAACGAU